rnacentral:rRNA from 1 species
AUUGAACGCUGGCGGCAGGCCUAACACAUGCAAGUCGAGCGGAGCGGCGGACGGGUGAGUAAUGCCUAGGAAUCUGCCUGGGAGUGAGGGAUAACGUUCGGUAACGGGCGCUGAUACCGCAUCCUAUCAGAUGAGCCUAGGUGGGAUUAGCUAGAUGGUGGGGUAAAGGCCUACCAAGGCGACGAUCCGUAACUGGUCUGAGAGGAUGAUCAGUCACACUGGGACUGAGACACGGUCCAGACUCCUACGGGAGGCAGCAGUGGGGAAUAUUGGACAAUGGGCGAAAGCCUGAUCCAGCCAUGCCGCGUGUGUGAAGAAGGUCUUCGGAUUGUAAAGUACUUUAAGUUGGGAGGCGUUACCCACAGAAUAAGCACCGGCUAACUUCGUGCCAGCAGCCGCGGUAAUAC